rnacentral:rRNA from 1 species
UUCCUUUCUUUCCUGCCCUGCCCACGCCGCUGCUUCUGCCUAUCUACUUUUUCUCAGACGCCAUUGCUGUAGAGUUGCUGCACGGGGCGCCCUCCCCCAUGAAGCGCGGCAUCGUGAGAGUUGUUGCUGCUGCACGGGAUGCCAUCACCAUGGCCGCGCCCUUCGCCAUGGCCGAACGCGACGGGGCCGAACACCGGCGCUACUACGACAGGGGGCCAUGGCCUGCGAGCUCAUAGGCCAGGGUGGCCAUGGCUUAUGAGCUCGAGGCAUGUUAUUUAUAACUCCAGAUUUUGCUUUCAUGUUUGUUUUUGCUGGAACCAGUGUACUAAUUUGUUACCACCGUCUUCGUUUUUUGCUGGAACUAACCAAAUUUUGCUGCCAUGUCUUUUUGUUGGAAUCAUUUUGUAGCACUUUUUUGCUACAACAGUUUUGGUUUUUUGCUACUACCGGCACUGUCGUUUGUUACAUCCUUUUUCAUGAGGUUGUCGAGACCCUGCGACUGUGUGUUUUGCUACACCCUUGUACAUUUUUUGCUACAACCUUGUGCAUUUUUUGCUACUACUAGAGAAGCCCCUAACUGGACCACAAGUUGUUUUUGCUAUAACCGUUUUGUGGUUUGCUGCAACCAAUGUCAAUUUUUGCUAUCACCGGCUUCUUGAUUUUUCUGGAACCAGCGCUCGAUUUUUCAUUUUUGCUACCACUAGCGUUUUGAUUUGCUGGAACAAGCUUCAAUUUUUGCUACCAUCAGGUUUUUGGUUUGUUGGAACGGCAUCGAUUUUUUCCAAUUUUGCUAUCAACGUUUUAUUGGUUUUUGCUGCAACCGUCAAGAAUUUUUGCUACGACCGGUGGAAUUUUUUGCUGCGACCGGCAAAUUAAGGACGAGGAACAACACGAGCUCUACGACGGGUGCUGCGGCCGGUGACGUGUGGCUCUGCGAGCCGUGGGGGGCCUCGUCGGAGAUGCGCCGCGGGGGCCUUGCUGGAGCUGGGCCUCGCCGGAGAUGCGCCGCGGGGGCCUUGCUGGGCCUCGCCGGAGAUGCGCCGCGGGAGCCUUGCUGGAGCUGCGCGGUGCUGCGAGCCGCGGGGGAUCUCACCGGAGAUGCGCCGUGCUGUGAGCCGCGGAGGAUCUCGCCGGAUAUGCCCCACGGGGCCUGAGGAAGAAGAAGGUGCAGCCACAGGCCCAGCGAAACAACGGGAGGAACCCGUCAGGCGAAGGCCCAACCCAGCAACGUGGAAAUUCAAUCUUGCGUGGGCUUCGACUUUGCGUGAGCUCUUUAAUCAGCGCCACAGAUGAUCUAUAUAGAAAUAAUAACUUCACUAUAGAUGACAUCUUCUUGUCUGGCUAGUUGGCAACAACUUGGAUGUCUCACGUACAUGUCGUGUGUUCGAUUCCUG